rnacentral:rRNA from 1 species
UACGUAGGGUGCGAGCGUUAAUCGGAAUUACUGGGCGUAAAGCGUGCGCAGGCGGUUCGUUGUGUCUGUGGUGAAAUCCCCGGGCUCAACCUGGGAAUUGCAUUUGUGACUGCACGGCUAGAGUGUGUCAGAGGGGGGUAGAAUUCCACGUGUAGCAGUGAAAUGCGUAGAGAUGUGGAGGAAUACCGAUGGCGAAGGCAGCCCCCUGGGAUAACACUGACGCUCAUGCACGAAAGCGUGGGGAGCAAACAGG